GUACCCACUUCGGCGGUAAGUAUACUAAAAUUGGAACGAUGCAGAGAAGAUCAGCAUGGCCUCUGACAGGAUGAAAAAAAACACUAUAAAUAAAUACCUCUAAAA